AAAAUGGUCUCUCUGUGUCUGGGGUCCGCGAUUUCCCAAGACUUGAGUAAGGGUCUCUCUGCGUGGGAUCUUUCAGUUAGCAGCCAUCUGUAAAAGUCCAGUUCAAGAAGGUCCGAUACCAACUUCUGGUCUCUUUUAGGUACCAGGCAUGCAUGCAGGUAAAAUACACACUCACAUAAAUCAAAACAUUUUUUAAAAAUAAAACAAAAACAUUUUUAAUGAUCCAAUCAGGCUUCCAUAUUGUUGAUGUCUUUAAAAAAAUCUCAGGGCUCACAGGCUAAUGUCAUUUUCCUCCAUUGCUUUUAGAAAGAAGAAAUUAUGCCAAAAAGGAAAACCUGUCAUUUUUCAUGGAUCCUGGGUCCCCUUUGUCUCCUCCUUGACAAGCGUAGACUUAUUGUCCCAGCAAUCAACUAUUGAUUGAACACCAGCUAUGGUUCUUGCAAUCUCAGCUUCUAGGCCAGAGCUCAAUGAAUCACAGAUAUUUAAUAAUGUUAAACAAAGUGGUUGCAUGGGGCUUUACGCUUGACCACAUUUAACAUGAUAUGAGAUAUGAAAAUGUGGCGAAGGUGUCCUUUUUAGAUCCUAUAUGUUUGUGAAGCCAUCUAUUAAUGAGACAAAGAGCUUUUAAAGUAGAAAGUUUAUCCUGGAGGCAAAACUGUGUGUCAUUAUUCUUCGUGGAAGUCAUACAGCCAUGCAUCUAGCUGCCAAGAGAGUGUCUGAGAGUGUUCACUGCAAAAUGACACAAGGACACCCACUGAUAUCCACACCACAGUUCAUGCUGUGGAUCACUUUGCUUAGCAUAGACCAUUAAAGUAAGCCUGACGUAGAAGAUGUUGCACAGCCUUGGUGGCUGGUAACAGGUCUCCCUCACUGAAAGUUCCUCUAGCUAGCCCGUAGGUACUACAUCUUUAUUAUCAGGGGACCCAUCUGUGAAGUCUGGGCGCUGUACCCUCAAAAGUAUGAUAUGUGAUGGUUAAUAUGAAUUGUCAACUUGACAGUGUCUAAUCAUUGAAGAGACAUAUGGGCAUUGCUAGAAUAGGUUAACCAAGGCAGAAAGAUCCACCCCAAAUAUGAGUGAUGCUAGGCUGUGGAUGGAGGGCCUGGGAUGAAUAAAAAGGACGGCCACCAUUUUUCACUUUAUUUUCUGACUGUGGAUAUCACGUGAUCAACUGUCUCAAGCUCCUGACACCAUGAUGGACCGUACCUUCCAACUGGGAGCCGAAGUGAACCUCUCCUCCCUGGGGUUGUUCUUGCAGGUGUUUUGGCACAGUAACAAAUUCCCAGGAGCCAAGGACUCUGGGGCCAGGCACUCUGCUUUUGACAUGGGAUCACUCUUGAUGCUGUCGGGGAUUUGACUGGAGAUGCAAGGAGCUGUGAUUUCUCCUGGUUCCACGGCACGGUACCAUGGAACGGAUGCAGAGAGAUAGAAGGCGCACUAUGGAUCAAUAAUUCUACCUCCUUGCUGGAGUGGGAAUCUCUCAGCCCAGAAACUGCAAAACGAUCAAAUGACCUCUUUUCCUGUCCCAUCCCCAAACAUGUACUGAUAGAUAUUACUUCUCAUUCCUUGAUGGCUGUGCCACCAGCCAGUGUGGGGCUCGGCAAAGGACUCAUGGUUGUAAUGCAUGGAGAAACAUGGACUUCUGAAAAGAUUGAUUUUUUAACCACAGAGGCAUAGUACAUGUGCUAAAUCAAACUGAAGGCGCUGGCUCCCCAUGAGGUCUUAGCUCAAAUAUUAAUCACCAGAGUGGUAAACAGUCUGAGCCCGGGCUACCGUGCUGACAGAAAGACCAGACAUAGGAGAGCCAGGCAGCAGUGAGGCUCAGGGAACAGAUGGCUCCUGACCCAGCACUGUGCCUAGCACUGUUUUCUUAAAAUAACUACUUCAUGAUAACCUCUUAUUCAAGUGAAAUGGAUUUCGUAGGUCUGUAACACAACUAGAUACGGAAUUUUAAAACUUAGCUAAAUAGUGUGCUUCAUGUAGAAAAUACAUACAGAGAAAAAUUUAGAUAAUUUAGGGAUUUUUAACUUAAUUUUUCACUUACAUUGUAUGUAUGUGAAUGCAUACACACAUGCCAUGGUGUGCAGGUCGGAGGAUAACUUGUAGGUCGGUUCUGAUUUUCGUCUUUCACCAUUGGGGUUCUAGGGACAGAACUAGACUGCCAGGCUCGCAGCAAGUAUUUCUUUCCAAUAAGCCAUCUUGCCCCAUUUCAGUGCAUAAGUGCUUGCUACACCUUCUCUCAAGAUGGAGUAAAUAACCAGAAUCCUAUAUAUAAUUAUUUUAAAUAUAUUGGUGUGCCAAUUAGUUUUUGUUAACAUAAAUUAGAAUCUAACAUAAACUAAGAAGAGAAAAACCUCCCCUGAGGAAUGGCCUCCUUAGUUUGGCCUGUGGGCGUGUCUGUGGGGUGUUUUGUUGAUUGAGGAAGGCUGUGUGAAGGCCCAGCUCACUGUGGGUGGGGCCAUCCAGGGCAGUUGAGCAGGCCAUGAGGAGCAAGACAGUGAGCAGCACUCCUCUAUGGCCUCUGCUUCAAUUCCUGCCUCCAGGUUCCUGCCCUCUAUAAGUUCCGGCCUUGGCUUUCCCCAAUGACAGACAAUGACCUGCAAGCCAAGUAAAACCAUUUCCUCCCUGAAUCGUUUUAAGUCAAUGUGUUUUAUCACAUGGGGGAAAAAAAAACUAAUACAACUGGGAUAUGAGAUGAAUAGCUGUUGGUUCUUCUGUUUCAUUUCUGUAUUUAAAGCUAGCUGAGACGGGUUGAGGAGGGAGAGAGAGUAUAAUAACUUCAUUUUCAUAGCUAUCGAUAAGGACUCAUGGGGAUGUUGUUUGUCAAACUCAGACUCUGUAAACACUGUCACUGUGGAUGACCUACGUUUCAGCUGUGGUGAGUGAUGGAGGAAGAUUCUGAAUGAGACCAUGUCCUGACACAGCCCAUCAUUGUGAUUAUCUGCCUUCCUUCAAAAGUUUAUACAUAUUUAAAGCAUGCACAAAAUAUUUUCCAUCUAUAUGUAAAAUAGAGUUAUGGUUUGAAUAUGAAAUGUUCGCCCAGGUUCAUAUGCUGACUGUUUGUCACCUCACCACAGCUGGUUGUGCUGUGUGGGAAGAUUCUGGAAACUUUAAGAGCUGGGACCAAACCAGAAGAAGUGGGUCGUCACUGAGAGCGUGCCUCAUAAAGUUCUGCCUGGUGUCUUGUUCUUUCCACGCUCUGCUUCCCGUCCUCCAGGAGAGCAGACUCCUCCCCUGUAUCCUUUCACUACCAUGAUGCUCUGCCUGAACACGUGGAGUUGAGGCACAGCAAGCUAAGACCUCUGAAAUCGUGAGCCAAAGCUUCUUGGUUAUUUGACCAAAGGGAUAUCAAGUAAACUGGUGCCAGAAAAACAGGAUUGUUACUCUGGUUAAAUAUGAUUAUGUGGUUCUUUAGCCUCUAGAACUAGUUUGUGGGAGGGUUUCAGGUGAGUUGGGAGAUAAAGGUUAGUGAAGCUCUAAAAAGGCUAUGAUCAGAGCUUAAUGGGAAGUUCUCGUCAGUGCUGAAGACCAGAAAGGUCUCCGAAUGCAGACAGCGAAGGCUAGUAUCACAAAGUUUCAAGUGGAAACAAGGUUUUUAUCCAAAAUUGGACUAGAGACCACUGUAUUUGUUGUAUGCAAGAAAGUCAUUUGUCGCAUGUUUCCACACCCAGAGAUGAAGACUUUAAGUUGACUUGCUUUUAAAAGAGAUGAAGUGUGGGGCUGAAGGGCUGGCUCAGCAGUUAAUUGCAUAUUCUGCUCUUCCGGAGGACCUGAGUUCAGUUCCCAGCACCCAUGGCAAGUGGCUCACAAUUGCCUAGAACUCUAGCUCCAGGGGAUCCAAUCCCCCUUCUGGUCUCUAGGUGUCUGAGCAUAUAUUUAAUAGCCACACACAGACACGCAACAAGGACAUAUAAUUAAAAAUAAAAUAAAUCUUAAAGAGAAA
rnacentral:sRNA from 1 species